CCUCUACCGCUGUUUACACAACAUAACGUUUCAGAAAAAAAAAACGAGCCACCCGUGCGUCACCCCAUCCCCUGCGCCUCCUCCAUCUCCCGACCUCAUCUCUCCCGCCGCCGCCCAAACUCUAGGCGCGCCUCCAAGGUUCGUCGCCGGCGGCCUCAUAUCUCAUGCGGAAUGGAUCCCCAAGAUGAUGAUCUUCCUUCCAGAACAGCCUCCGCUCCUUGAGGGGGGCCGGACCCCUUUAUCCCACCGGCAUCGGCUGGCCUAGCGCCGUCGAGGGCACCCAGGUGGCUGGGCGCGGCCGUGGCCUGCUAGCAGGCCGCAGGCCUGCACUGGCGCCGGCCGUGGCCGUGGCGCAGCCAGACUGGCGGCGCUCCGGUGAGUGACACCAUGGCCGACGAUGGCUUCAAGCUUCAGACGAGGUUUCGCGGUAGCGUCGCGCACAUGCUCUCCGCGGUGCUCUCGUCCGUGUUCUGAUUCCUGGACGAAGCAGUAGUUCUUUACUGUGUGGAUUUGUUCUUGAUGCUUCGCUAGCUAGCCCUGUAGCCCAUGUCUAUUUUGUACCCACGUAAAAAUAGAUUUGAGCUGAGACUUUUUGUUCACGUAUCCUGUUGCAUGAUGAGAGUGGAUGUUUUCUUGCACCACCAAUGCACAACCCUUUAUUCACAGGAACAAUUGUCCGUGUAGCAAAUUGUUGCAGCGAAUUACUGUAGUGAAUUACUGUAGCGCAUCAAAGAAAAAGAAAAGAAAAGGUAAAAGGACUAUUCCUCCUAA